rnacentral:rRNA from 1 species
CCUACGGGCGGCAGCAGUGGGGAAUAUUGCACAAUGGGGGGAACCCUGAUGCAGCGACGCCGCGUGAGUGAAGAAGCAUUUCGGUAUGUAAAGCUCUAUCAGCAGGGACGAAAAUGACGGUAACUGACUAAGAAGCCCCGGCGAACUACGUGCCAGCAGCCGCGGUAAUUCGUAGGGGUCAAGCGUUAUCCGGAUUUACUGGGUGGAAAGGGAGCGUAGGCGGUUAUGUAAGUCUGGAGUGAAAGGCCAAGGCUCAACCAUGGGACUGCUUUGGAAACUGGAAAACUGGAGUGCAGGAGAGGUAAGCGGAAUUCCUAGUGUAGCGGUGAAAUGCGUAGAUAUUAGGAGGAACACCAGUGGCGAAGGCGGCUUACUGGACUGUAACUGACGUUGAGGCUCGAAGGCGUGGGGAGCAAACAGGAUUAGAUACCCCAGUAGUC